AAUUAUUGUAUACGACAAUUAUGUCUCGAAUUCCAUGCUGUAAGUAGAGAAAGAGAAGAUGUCUUAUUUUUGUACAAAAAUUGAUGUUGAUAUAACACCUCUUUUAGAAAUAUCUUAGUAAGUGACAUAUACGGAUGUGGUGUGAAUUAUUUGUCUUCAUUUCUUUGUUACCCCACUAAUUUGUGUGUACCUUCUUCUCUUAUCAACUUCCGCUAAUUUCUUUCAUCCCCCAAAAACUCUACAGUCUAC
rnacentral:lncRNA from 1 species